UUACAUUUUCUCCAAGCCUUUAAUUUUCUCAUUUAUCAUUUGUCAGAGCCCGAGGCCCUUCCUUAGCACAUGGUGUUUGCCAGCAGCUAAUGAUCCCUUUACCAAACAUCACAGUCCAGCCAGGAGCUUGUUAAUGUUGCUAGGGCUGAUGAUUUAAUGCUUCACUGUCACGGGCAGGUCUCUGGACCCUGGAUCACAGGAAUGCUGUGACUCUGGGGCUCUGUGCUUCCUGGAGGCCCCACUGUCACCAGGGAACCAUGGAAACCAAUCCAGUCCCAGAUAUGGAGAAAGCUGAGCACUGAGGUUGGCUUUGGAAGCCAGGCAUGGACUUCUAGAACUCCAUCCAGUGGUCACAGACUGGACGCCAUCUUGCUGCCCCACAGAUCUCCCUGCAGCUGUGAUCUCCUUGUAGUGACAUCAUCCAGGACCUUGCUGAACCUCCCCGGGGUGUCUCUUAUGGCUCUGGUGAGCACAUGAGACCCAGGUUGAUACCAUUCUGGCUUUCCAGCCGAGAAGCAUGACCUUGGGAGACGCCUGAGGUCACAUGGGUGACGGAGGAGAUGGCGGACUCUGACCUGUACAGAUUUCUAGGUUGACGUGAAAACAUCAGAUGCCAGGCAAGCCAAGCUCCAAGUCAAUGCAUUCCAGACUAUCCUCAGGAAGCCUGACAGCCUGAGAAGACUGAGUUCCUUACAAUCCGGCA
rnacentral:lncRNA from 1 species